UACAGAGGAUGCAAGCGUUGUUCGGAAUUAUUGGGCGUAAAGGGCGCGUAGGCGGUGCUGUAAGUCUGUCGUGAAAUCUCUGGGCUCAACUCAGAGUCUGCUAUAGAAACUGCAGUGCUGGAGUGUGGGAGAGGUGAGUGGAAUUCCCGGUGUAGCGGUGAAAUGCGUAGAUAUCAGGAGGAACACCGAUGGCGAAGGCAGCCUUCUGGGCCAACACUGACGCUCAUGCACGAAAGCGUGGGGAGCAAACAGG
rnacentral:rRNA from 1 species